rnacentral:misc_RNA from 1 species
AUUCCAUAGGUGAACCUGCGGAAGGAUCAUUCAUAAUAAGUGUUUUAUGGCACUUUUUUAAAUCCAUAUCCACCUUGUGUGCAAUGUCAGGGUUGAUUUUUCUCUCGAGAGGAUCAACCCCAAACAUCAACUAUAUCUCAACUCUUUGUCUGAAAAAUAUUAUGAAUAAAACAAUUCAAAAUACAACUUUCAACAACGGAUCUCUUGGCUCUC